ACUCAAAGGAAUUGACGGGGGCCCGCACAAGCGGUGGAGCAUGUGGUUCAAUUCGACGCAACGCGAAGAACCUUACCUGGGCUCGAAAUGUAGUGGAAGCCGGAUGAAAGUCUUGCGCCCGCAAGGGCCGCUGCAUAGGUGCUGCAUGGCUGUCGUCAGCUCGUGUCGUGAGAUGUUGGGUUAAGUCCCGCAACGAGCGCAACCCUUAUCUUUAGUUGCUAAGCCGCAAGGCAGCACUCUAAAGAGACUGUCGGCCACAAGCCGGAGGAAGGUGGGGAUGACGUCAAGUCCUCAUGGCCUUUAUGUCCAGGGCUACACACGUGCUACAAUGGGCGGUACAAAGCGCUGCAAACCCGCGAGGGGAAGCCAAUCGCAAAAAACCGCUCUCAGUUCGGAUUGCAGUCUGCAACUCGGCUGCAUGAAGCUGGAAUCGCUAGUAAUCGCGGAUCAGCACGCCGCGGUGAAUACGUUCCCGGGCCUUGUACACACCGCCCGU
rnacentral:rRNA from 1 species